rnacentral:rRNA from 1 species
GUCGAAGGUGGAGCCGGUAACUGGGGUGAAGUCGUAACAAGGUAGCCGUAUCGGAAGGUGCGGCUGGAUCACCUCCUUU